rnacentral:rRNA from 1 species
CCUACGGGUGGCAGCAGUGGGGAAUAUUGCACAAUGGGCGCAAGCCUGAUACAGCCAUGCCGCGUGUGUGAAGAAGGCCUUCGGGUUGUAAAGCACUUUCAGCGGGGAGGAAGGCGGUGAGGUUAAUAACCUCAUCGAUUGACGUUACCCGCAGAAGAAGCACCGGCUAACUCCGUGCCAGCAGCCGCGGUAAUACGGAGGGUGCAAGCGUUAAUCGGAAUUACUGGGCGUAAAGCGCACGCAGGCGGUCUGUCAAGUCGGAUGUGAAAUCCCCGGGCUCAACCUGGGAACUGCAUUCGAAACUGGCAGGCUAGAGUCUUGUAGAGGGGGGUAGAAUUCCAGGUGUAGCGGUGAAAUGCGUAGAGAUCUGGAGGAAUACCGGUGGCGAAGGCGGCCCCCUGGACAAAGACUGACGCUCAGGCGCGAAAGCGUGGGGAGCAAACAGGAUUAGAUACCCUAGUAGUC